CUAGUUUAGGGUACUCAGUGCCCAAACUUCAACCCUUUGAUUUACCAACAUGUUUCUUUGCCGGCUUCAAACCCGGCAAAAGAUUUCUCAAACUCAUUGAUAAAUGAUGCAGUCUGAAACUUUGAUAUAAAUCAAAAGCA
rnacentral:misc_RNA from 1 species